CAGGCAAACGCUCGUUAUUAUAUAGACAAGACACGACACGACAGGACAGGACGAGACUGGGUCCGUCUGGCUGGCAGGCAGGCAGGCAGGCAGGCAGGAUGUCAACGCAAAUUCAAGUGAAAUGAUGCACAAGGAAAUAAUAGAGAAAAGAAAAGGAUUGCUACCGGAUGAAUGCACUUCAUUUGAAGUAGAAGUGGAAGGAAUGCAGUCCUAGUCCUCAUUGUUAGACAGGACUGGAGCUGGAGCCGGAGACGGAGCGCACACCGAAGGCAGCGCCCAAGUCAAGCCCAAAGGAUUACAGACUUUGAGGGGUAAGCAGAGACGUCACUCCUUUACUCCCAAGGGAUUGAGGUUUCGCGGGAAAAGGCUGCGGGAAGGACAGCCACAAAGCAGAGACCGGUGGGCAUUAGAAGCGGGACAAUCGAUGUGAAGCUGCCAGAGAGAAGUCUUUUCAUAAUACACUUGAAGAAAUGGUUAGCCCCAACAUUAAUCCAUGUAUAAAAUCCUUUAAAAUAAAUGUUAUGCAUUAAUGUGCGUGUGAGCAAGUCGCACAAUCAAACCACCAACACUCAUGGUCUUCAAGUACAUCGAGCACUUCCAACCGCCUCGUUUCUUGGCCUCGCCUGCGUGUAGGAGCUAAAUAUUGAAUAUUCCGCUCAUUCGAAAGUGCUGAUUAGUGCUUUGGACAUCGAAUUUCAGGGUUUUUUUCCAGCAAUGUUUGAGUGUUUGGCUGUCCAGGACCAAAAUCCAAUGAAGACACACCAUCUCCGAUAGGGACACUGAGUGACAACCAUUGUUCCGCUCGAUACUGAUCAUUCAAGCGAAAAAGCAGCGAGAAAGGAUUAUGCGGCUUAGGGGUGUGCGCCCCUAUGCCUCUGUGCCUCUGUCCCUCUAUGCAUGGAUUGUGGCUUGCAGUCAAAGGUUACAACAAUAGCGCGGGCAGAAAGAUUCUCUGAAGAGCCACAGAUAGCGGUACAUGAGACCUCCAGCUGUUUUUGGUCGCCGCUGAUGAUGAAGUUGUUCUUCGCCAACUUUGAAGUAGCCGCCCUAGACAACGGGAGUCAUUAAUUUCGGACUGGAAAGAGAACUUUCAACAAGUUGUUGGUCAGGGUCGCAGUGUAUGUUCUCACCUCUGACUCCCUCCCAUACCAGCUCCACUCCGCGUCUCCGCGUCUCCGAUUCUCACAGAACGAGAGCCAAGACAGAGCCUAGGGUACACAUGCAUUUCUAUCUAA
rnacentral:sRNA from 1 species